rnacentral:antisense_RNA from 16 species
CUCAAUGGUGGACUGGAUAGGGCUACCGAAAGGUAGGCCGGACGGUGAACCCGGUAGUAUCAACCCUGUUCAGUUCACCACCAAU